rnacentral:rRNA from 1 species
AGCGAACGCUGGCGGCAGGCCUAACACAUGCAAGUCGAGCGAAGUCUUCGGACUUAGUGGCGGACGGGUGAGUAACACGUGGGAACGUGCCCUUUGGUACGGAAUAACUCAGGGAAACUUGAGCUAAUACCGUACGUGCCCUUCGGGGGAAAGAUUUAUCGCCAUUGGAGCGGCCCGCGUCUGAUUAGCUAGUUGGUGAGGUAAAGGCUCACCAAGGCGACGAUCAGUAGCUGGUCUGAGAGGAUGAUCAGCCACAUUGGGACUGAGACACGGCCCAAACUCCUACGGGAGGCAGCAGUGGGGAAUCUUGCGCAAUGGGCGAAAGCCUGACGCAGCCAUGCCGCGUGAAUGAUGAAGGUCUUAGGAUUGUAAAAUUCUUUCACCGGGGACGAUAAUGACGGUACCCGGAGAAGAAGCCCCGGCUAACUUCGUGCCAGCCGCCGCUGUAAUAC